rnacentral:tRNA from 1 species
GCCUCCAUAGCUCAGUGGUUAGAGCACUGCCCUUGAAAACCAAGGGUUGUGAGUUCGAUCCUCACUGGGGUCU